AGUGAACGCUGGCGGUAGGCCUAACACAUGCAAGUCGAACGGCAGCACAGUAAGAGCUUGCUCUUACGGGUGGCGAGUGGCGGACGGGUGAGGAAUACAUCGGAAUCUACUUUUUCGUGGGGGAUAACGUAGGGAAACUUACGCUAAUACCGCAUACGACCUACGGGUGAAAGCACGGGAUCUUCGGACCUUGCGCGAUUGAAUGAGCCGAUGUCGGAUUAGCUAGUUGGCGGGGUAAAGGCCCACCAAGGCGACGAUCCGUAGCUGGUCUGAGAGGAUGAUCAGCCACACUGGAACUGAGACACGGUCCAGACUCCUACGGGAGGCAGCAGUGGGGAAUAUUGGACAAUGGGCGCAAGCCUGAUCCAGCCAUACCGCGUGGGUGAAGAAGGCCUUCGGAUUGUAAAGCCCUUUUGUUGGGAAAGAAAAGCAGCAGGUUAAUACCCCGCUGUUCUGACGGUACCCAAAGAAUAAGCACCGGCUAACUUCGUG
rnacentral:rRNA from 1 species